GGGCAAAGGUGCAUGACAACUCUGAGCAAGUCAAAACAACCGUCAGCAGCGGGAAACCUCGAUGAACAAACACCGGGAGAGUGUUUCUGCAGAUCCUGCUUUGUGACUUCGAGUGAAGUGUGGAAGCGCUGGAAGCACUUAGACCCUGCCUGUGCCGCAGACCCCUGGGAGGCACCAACACCCCGGAUCGAGAAGCCCGAUGGGAAAGAAUGUCUGGGAAGGACGUCAUGCCCGAGGCUUGCGUGACAGUUUCCACUCACAGUGCGCUCACUCUGAACCUCUGUGCACACGAUGGGCCUGCAUCUCUUCCCACUAUCUGCUAGGAAACACGAGGCAAGCACAUUCUGGAGAUGCGGGGCAGAGACGAGGCCUCCGUGAGAACCUUUGAGGUGUGAGGGCCUUGAUCUGGGGUGCAGCCUCCAGCUUUCUGCUUACAGAGCAGGACCUGCAGGAGCUCGCUGACUGCCUGCACAGUGGAAGGAAGACCUGUUUCUUUUACUUUCCUUGAGGAGAAAAAAUUAAAGUUCUGAGCAAAC
rnacentral:lncRNA from 1 species